CCACGACCGCUCGAGAACGACGGCGAUGAGGAGGCCCGACCCUUGACGCAGAUCUCUCCGUCUGGCGAUGCCGCCAGUAAGGAAGCCCGGGCUCUGGCGACCGUGCGGCAGCCAACGCGGCGUCGUGUGCGCUGGAGGGGGCUCUGGCGACCGCGCGGCGUCCGGUCGUGGGUUCCGGCGACGCCAAGCCGUAGAUCUGAGCCGCCGUCUCCACUUUCCUCCUUCCUCACUUCAAGAUGCUUUGGCAGGGAUCCUCCGUAUCAAGGGAAGAGCGGGGUAGUGUGGGCGAGGGAAGUCCUUGUGUACCAGGUUUAUGAAAGAAACAGAAAAGAAACAAGAUGCAGUAAAAUUUAGAUCCUUUGAAGGUAGUGCUAUUGUUGAAUCUUGAUUCUUGAUGCUAUGGAUAUUGUCUGCUUUCAACCCCACCCUGUACUACUCACCAG